AGAGCGAACGCUGGCGGCAGGCCUAACACAUGCAAGCCGAACGGACCCUUCGGGGUUAGUGGCGGACGGGUGAGUAACACGUGGGAACGUGCCUUUAGGUUCGGAAUAGCUCCUGGAAACGGGUGGUAAUGCCGAAUGUGCCCUUCGGGGGAAAGAUUUAUCGCCUUUAGAGCGGCCCGCGUCUGAUUAGCUAGUUGGUGAGGUAAAGGCUCACCAAGGCUACGAUCAGUAGCUGGUCUGAGAGGAUGACCAGCCACAUUGGGACUGAGACACGGCCCAAACUCCUACGGGAGGCAGCAGUGGGGAAUCUUGCGCAAUGGGCGAAAGCCUGACGCAGCCAUGCCGCGUGAAUGAUGAAGGUCUUAGGAUUGUAAAAUUCUUCAGUAGGACGAUAAUGACGUACUACAGAAGAAGCCCCGGAUAACUUCGUGCCAGCAGCCGC
rnacentral:rRNA from 1 species